AAAUACAGUCCUUCACUUGAUGACUACUGCCAGCUUUGGAAGUCCUGGGAAAGAACAAGAAGUCAAUUGACAAAUGCUGAGUGUUGUGCAUUCUGGAAGUGUGUUAUGAAGCACGGCAGCUCAAAAAUAGCAAAAGCUCUGCUUGAUGACUUGGAAAAGCUGCCUGUUGUUUCAUGCUCCGGUGAAAUCUUCUUGUUCGACAAGCGUGACGUUUUUAUAGCAGAUGACCUUCAACUGAAGGAUCUGUUUGAGAAGUUUUCAACCCAGCCAAUAUUUGUCUGGUAUCCUCAGCCAAGCGUGGCUUCUUUACCCCGCAGCUCUUUGUUUGAAGUGUACAGAAGAACUGGGAUCCGGACAAUUUCUGAAUCUGUACAGAUGAAAGAACUCUCCUUAGAAAAUGGCAUGGAACUAAAGCAGGUGAAUCCGAGUGGUAUUUUUAUUGGCAAAGAACUGGUUAGACUCAUUCUUGGCUUCUUAGCAAAUCCUUCUUUCGAUAUGGAAGCAAUGAAGAGGCAUGAAGCUGUGAAGUGCCUUCUUAAUCUCACUGUCUUGGAGACUGAGGAGCCAAUAAACGUGAGCUACAGUUUAUCACUCUCCUCUGGUGUACCCGUGAAUGUAAGAGCUAGCCAAUUGGUACGGUGGGACAGAGAGAGUUGUAAAUUUUUCACACGGACGAUUGACUAUGCUGGUGGACAGAAAAAUCUCAUUGAAUAUGCAACAUAUUUCUCAGAGGCAAUAGCUGAGGGAGUUUUAUGGGAGCAUGAAGAUCACGUAUUUGCAUUGGCCGAGCUGAUUAAGUUGGCUUUCCUGCUAACUUUUGAUGAAGAAGCAAUUCAAUUUUUGAUGAAAUCCAGGAAUUUGCAAAUUUUCAUGGAGGACGAGGUAUUCUUGUCUGAUGCCUUCCCCUCUGUCUAGGCUAUUAUGGACCCUUAUAUUUCAGCUACUCUCUCUCUUUUGCUUUAUUUUAGCACCAGCCUCUCUGCAUGACUAAAAUAUUACUAUGUUUGUGUAUUUGUCAUGUGAGAUGGUGAAUGCUAUUGGUUUGGAGUAUGUAAACCUUAGUGCUAGUUUUUCAUUUGCUUUGCAGUGGUUUGAUGUAAUAACUAGUGUGUAUUGUAAUUUGUAAGAAUGGAUCAUUUGAAAUAUUUCUCUCAAAGAAAGAACACUAAAAUGUUACGACAUUGAAAUGGGCUACCACGAUAAGAUAAAUAUUUGGCAAGUUUCAAGCCCAAAUGUAGAAACCCCAAGCCCAAAGAUGUAUGCCCCAGCCACAAAGUGUGUAAAUACUUAGGGCAUUUUAGAAUACUUCCACUCAAAGAUAUUUUGUGAAAAUAUCUCACCUACUCUAGAAUGCUCCAUGUAAUCUCCACCGUAUAUUUUUGUAAGCAAAUCUUAGCCGUACGUUGAGGAGGUGAAAAUGCCCAUAAAUACCACCCCUCCUCUCAUUUGUAAAAAACCAGUAAGCAAUCAUUUCCUUAAGUUUUGUGAAUAUUUGCUUCUUAUUAAUAUAAUUAUAUUUGGUGUUUUGUAUUAGUAUUAUUUUGGUUGUCUUUCCCGUUAUUAUUCUUGGUGUUAUAAAUUAUUAAUCAAUCUUGGAGUUUAUCACUACACUGAUAUCCAACGGAUGGUAUCGGAGCAUUAAUCCCAACAGAAACUGGUGCUGCAAUAAAUUAAAAGCUCAGGUCAGCAUACAAUGAAAGCGGUGAUCUUGCUCUUUCUAAUCAAAGAUGAAAUGAAGUUUCAAUCAUUCACUUAUGCAGCCAAAUACCAAUAUAAGCCAUUGCUAAUUAGUAUUCUAGUUCUUCUCCUUCAAGACAAAAUAGCACUGGUCUUUUUUAGCUAGAAAUAAAAACAGAAACACACAAAUGAAUUUAAGUUUUUUUUUUUUUUUAAAAAAAAAACACCAGGUGUUGCCUUUUUUUUUUUAAAAAAAAAAAGCUGCAACUCGUGAUGUUGUAUCGUAAAAAGUUUACCUCCUUAGCUGAUAGGAGUAAUUUCGCAAUGAAGAUUGUGCAAGACGAAUCCUUUGCAAGAGCUGCUCCAUUAUUACACAUACAAACAAAUAAUCAUAAUAUAAAAACCACAUCCUUAGUUGCUAAUUAACUAUUUUAAAGAUCUCAUUUAACCAAAACAUAAUUUAAAUUACUGAAACAGAGGAGCCUUCACAACCCAUUCUUUCCCUCGUAAGCCCCCACAUUGUCUUCAUCUUUGCUUUGUCAGUGACUGUAACUCCUCUCUAAACAAAAACAACAAUUAGAACAGACAUCAGCAUCGAAGUACAGAACCACGUCGUUUACGAAACUAUAUUUGAUACAUUUUGAUCAAAGUAGCUUACAAGGAAAAAAGAAUUCUCCGCUAGAUGAAAGUAAAAAAUAUUUUCCGGGAAAGUAAAAUGAAAGCUAUGUAACGAAAUCUGGCGAAAUGGCAAUAGAGUAGUACUAAUUGGGCUCGAGAUUCGGCUGAAGCGAUUCUGAUGGGCUAACAAAGAGGAGAGACCGUUAACCCGCCGCGAAAAUAUCUGCGCCCCGCCAUUAAUUCGACGAUUCAUUUAUUUAUUUUUUCAAUCCAUUAGAAGGUCUUGGAUUGGUCAUGGGCUACCCAUAAACCCGCUUAGUCCAUCAAAAGUUUCUCUGUAUAAAUGAACUGGAUUUUGAUUUAUUUGUUUCUCUUAAUAAAUUAUUUUUCUUUUUCUUUUUCUUUUUGGUACUACUAUGGGAAAAUUAUCUAAUACUGUUGUUUUUUUUUUUUUUUUUUCCAGCUGUUAUCUUUAGAAAUUUUAAAAACUGUAUUCAUAAAUUCAUAUGAUAAAUAGUACUAUUUUAAAUGUAAACAUAAAUUUACAUUCUGUGUGUGUUGUAUGGAUGUGCAUUCACAUAUUAAUAUGAAGCGACGCAGUGAUCCUGCUGGAGCCAAAAUGAAGAGAAGCUGAUUGGCGAGCCCAACAGAAGGAAAAUAAUGCCAGCACUGCUGUGAUAUUCUAUUUCCUAGAAUCUUAGCCAUUGGUUUCUCAUUGUAACUCCACCACCGUUGAACGCUUUUCUUUUUGGUGUUCGCCUAAAGGUUUAUUUUUCUCUAAUUAAGUCAAUGUCAAUUGGGUCAAUCGCUUUUCUACUUUGUCUCCUUCCUUAGCAAGUUACCUUCUCCGCGAAGCAGUCUUCACUUGACUAGCUCACUAACACUAAACUACACUCUUCUGCAAACCACCAUUUUAUUUUCUUCUCUCUCGCUCUCUCAAUCUCUGGUUUUGCUUAGUUCUGUUUGCAAUGGCGACUCCUCGUGAUCACAUCGAGCAUCUUAGGAAGACGUGGUUCUCCAUCGGAGGACCAGAGAAUCCACUGGCUACCAUGCUUGACAAGGCUGUUAAAUACCUCUCUGAUGAACUCUAUACUAAGGAUGUCCACUAUUUUAUGGAACUCAUACAGGUUUUUUACGCUACUACUCUUUCCUCUCUAUCUAUUUUCCUAAAUAUGACACAAUGCUAAUGGAUGUGACCGUUUCACCUCUGUUAUGUUGUUUGUUUUGCCUUUCCCCCGUUUUUGUUGGCAUGUACUAUGGAAGGAUGCAUUGGUUUUUUUUUUUUCUUUUUCUUUUUGUUAGCGUUCUGAUUUUUCAACUGAUUCAGACUUCGAAAUUUUGAUCGUUCAUUAUUAUGUCAAUAUCGAUUGAGCAGUGUGUUCUGUAUAAAUGAAUUUGAAGUAUAGAGUUCCGUUUAGAUAUUUUGCAAAAAGCGUUGAAUUAAAUUUUCCUCCGCAGAAUGCAGAGGACAAUGAGUAUCCGGAAAGGAUAGAUCCUUCGCUUGAGUUUGUCAUAACAUCGCGGGAUAUAACAGCCACGGGUGCUCCUGCAACAUUACUGAUAUUCAAUAAUGAGAAAGGAUUUUCUCCUAAAAAUAUAGAGUCUAUUUGCAAUGUUGGAAAUUCCACUAAACAAGGCCACAGGAAACGCGGUUAUAUCGGGGAGAAAGGUACUUAUUCAUUUAUUUCUCUUUAAAUUUUAUAGAUAUGCUGUCCAAUUCUGUCAUAUAUGAGAAUGAGAACCUGUCAUGGAGAUCAUAUCAUUUAUUGGCAUUUCCAAGUUUCUCUCUAAACUUGCACAUCUUUUUCUGCUCUCUUGUUGUCAGUUGGGCUUAAGAAAUGCUAUAAAGUAUGUCUCCAAAGUUGAGAUAACAAACUUUCUUUUUGGUUGAUCAACAGGAAUUGGGUUCAAGAGUGUGUUUCUUAUCAGUGCUCAACCUCACAUUUUCAGUAAUGGCUAUCAGAUACGCUUCAAUGAAAAGCCUUGUCCAUACUGCAAACUUGGAUACAUAGUUCCUGAAUGGGUUGAGGAGAACCCAUCUCUCUCUGAUAUAAAACAAAUUUAUGGUUCUGGUCCCUCCAUUCCUACUACAACAAUAGUCUUGCCUUUGAAGCUUGACAAGAUGAAAGCUGUGAAGCAGCAACUCUCAAACAUUCAUCCUGAAGUCCUGUUAUUCCUUUCCAAGAUAAAGCGCCUUUCUGUGAGAGAGGAUAAUGAGGAUCCGCGGCUCAAUACUAUUAAAGCUAUAGCUAUUACAAAAGAGACCAAUUUUGUGACAAGGAAGAAUAUUGAUGCUGAAUCCUACACGCUCUAUCUGUCAGCAGAGGAAACUGGCGAUGCCUCCAAUGAAGAAUGCAGCUACUAUGUCUGGAAGCAGAAGCUUCCUGUCAGACAGGAAAAUAAAGUUGAUAGGAGAAUGGAAGUGGAGGAGUGGGUGAUCACUUUGGCAUUUCCUAAUGGAGAGCGUCUGCAUAGGGGAACAAGCUCACCUGGGGUUUAUGCGUUUCUUCCUACAGAGAUGGUUACGAAUUUCCCAUUCAUAAUUCAAGCUGAUUUUCUUCUAGCAUCAUCAAGAGAAACAAUACUUUUGGACAAUAUAUGGAAUCAAGGAAUUCUUGACUGUGUGCCCUUUGCUUUCAUUAAUGCAUUAAACUCGCUUGUCAAAACUACAGAAGACGCACCUGCUUCUAGUUUGCCCCCAAUGUUUAAGUUCCUUCCAGUCAGCAGCUCUCCUUAUCCAAGGUUGAAUGCUGUCAGGGAGUCGAUCAAAGCAAAACUGGCUGAAGAAAAUAUUGUUCCAAGUGAAUCGUACACGGAGCAGAAGUUCUUUCAUAAACCAUGCGAAGUUCGUAGAAUAAUGCCUGAAUUCUGGAAUAUUUUGAAGAUGGCAAGGAAUCAAGGAGUGAGCUUGCAUAAUCUUUCCUCCCAUGGUUGGUAUGUUCUGAAUUCUUCGUUUGACCAACCAGAGUAUGAUGAAAUACUGAAUUUUCUAGGAGUAGGAUCAGUGAACAAUGAAUGGUAUGCUAAGUGUAUCCAGGGCUCUAAUCUCAUAAUGGGAGUCUCCGAGGAAACUUAUUUGGAGAUUCUUGCCUUCCUUGCUGACAAUUGGCAGUCCAAGUUUCGCUACACUGAGGUUCUAAACAUUCCAAUUAUAAAAUAUGAAGGUAAAGACGGGGGUGUAUGUUUGUGCACUAUUAAUGAAUCAGCAAAAAGUAGGUUGUUACUGUGCUUAUCUGAUGUGUUUGGUCAAGCAUCACGGUUGAUUGAUUGGAACAGAGAAUUCAGAUGCGUGGCAAAUUUGUUUUUUAUGCCAUUAAGUACACAAGAAGCCAUCAGGGUAUGUUCCAAACGGCGAUUGGUGUGGGACUGGUUCAUAAAUCAUGUGAAUCUUAAAGCUUACAAUGUAUAUCAGUAUGCAUCUGUACUCUGUAAACAUGUUAGUGGUGACCGGAAGCUUGUCAUUGCCUAUGCUCUCUUUUUAUAUAGCUCAUUCUCCUGCAAGUAUCUGUCAAAGACAGAGGUGGAUGAUUUGUGUCGUAUUAUGCCUCUUGUAGAUAACUAUGGGACUGUGACCAAAAGUUGGAGUGCGGUUCUUGUGCCAGCUAAUGGAAGCAAAUGGGUGCAGUUGAUUGGUUCAAAUCCCUGGAGAACAGAGGGUUAUAUUGAGUUGGGAGAAGACUAUUCAUGCCCUGGAUCUUACGUUGGUCAAAGAGCCACCGGGAACCAACUCAUAGAGUUCCUGAAAGCUCAUCUUGGUGCUGCUGAUAUUCCUUAUAUAUCUCCACCCAAUGCAGGAAUUCCUACUGUGUCUUCACCACUAACCAAGCAGAACGCAUUCUUGCUGUUGGAUUGGAUUCAAAACCUGAAAUAUAGCAGAAGUCGCAUGCCAGAGAGGUUCUUAACUUGCAUAAAGGAUGGUAGCUGGCUGAGAAUAACUAUGAAUGGCUGUUCUGGAUAUAAACCACCAUCACAGUCUUUCCUGCUCAAGUCAAAUAGCGGAAACUCAGACUGGGGAAAUAUCAUGCAGAAUGCAGCUGUCCUUGUUGACAUUCCAUUAAUUGAUCAGAACUUUUAUGGUGAGAAAAUUUUCUCAUACAGGGAAGAGCUAAAAACAGUUGGAGUCAUGUUUGAUUAUGAAGAAGCCUGUGAAUUUGUUGCGAAACGUCUCAUGUCUCUUGCAGCUUCAUGGUCCUUAAGUAGAAGCAAUGUGAUCUCGAUGCUGAAUUUUAUUAAAUUUCUGAGGGAACGUUUUCUUUCUCCAGAGAAAUUCAUCCAUAGUGUCAGGGAAGGAAGAUGGCUACAAACAUCCUGUGGUCAAAGAUCUCCGGUUGGAUCUGUCCUGUAUGAUCAGGAAUGGGCAAUUGCAAAGCAGCUAAGUGACAUCCCCUUCAUCGAUCAACAGUAUUAUGGGGAUGAAAUUGUUCGUUUCAAAACAGAACUUCAGUUGCUUGGCGUCAUAGUUGGCUUCAAUGGAAAUUACAAGCUGGUCAUUGACCACCUGAAAUCUCCUUUAUGGUCAGCAUGUCUAACUUCUGAAGCUUUGGUUUUGGCAAUGGAUUGCAUGCGCCAUUGUGGGCCUGUGGACAAACUUGUUAGCGCAUGUAAAAAUACAAAUUGCUUGAAGACCAAUCUUGGUUAUAAGGCCCCGGGUGAAUGUUUUUUGUUUGAUCCUGAAUGGGGUUGCCUUCUAGAGGUUUUUGGUGGUUUCCCAUUGAUUGAUCAUAGUUUCUAUGGAAGCAGAAUCAACUCUUACAAAACACAGUUGAAGCAACUGGGAGUAAAGGUAGAAUUUGAGGGGGCUGUGCGAGUCUUUGUGUUAAAAUUUAAGCAGCUGGGGUCAAAGUUUUCCAUUCAGACGAACAAUGUUCUUUCAUUUCUAUCGUGCUACAGAAAGCUAAAAGGUACUUAUGAAUUUCCUUCAGAUCUGGAAAGUUGCAUCCGUGAAGUGCAGUGGUUAAAAACCCGGCUUGGUGAUUAUCGAUCUCCACAAGGAUGCGUUCUGUAUGGAGCUGAGUGGGAGUCCAUCUCUCCAAUUACUCUCCUUCCCCAUAUUGAUGACAGCGUCAAUUGUUAUGGAAAGGCCAUUCAUGAAUAUAAAGAGGAACUGAAGAGCAUGGGCGUUAUUGUUAAAUUUAAAGAUGGUUUGGAGCUUGUGGUUUCUGCUCUUCAUUUUCCCCGGAAUCCUAGCACCAUAACUCCUUCAAAUGUUUUUUCGUUGCUGGAAUGCAUUCAGAUACUAUUGCAACGGGGUGACCCCUUGCCAGAGGCUUUUCUGAAAAAAGCUUCUCAAAAAUGGUUAAAGACCCAUGCUGGUUACAGAACUCCAGACGAGUGCUGCUUGUUUGAUUCGGAAUGGGAUUUAUUUGUGAAGCGGACUGAUGGUCCUUUCAUUGAUGAAGAUUUUUAUGGUUCCAACAUCACAUCAUACAAAAGAGAGCUCAGCGCCAUAGGAGUUGUCGUUGAUGCAGAGAGGGCAUGCUCAUUGCUCGCCAGUUACUUGGGUUCCCAUUCUGAAUCGACCACCAUAGUUCGAAUAUAUGAUUUCUUGAAUAAAUAUAACUGGAAGCCAGGUACUGAAGCAGCUUGCAAGAUAUGGAUUCCAUGCGGAAGUAAAGUGGGAAUAUGGGCUGAUCCACCAAACUGUGUUCUACAUGAUAAAGAUGGUCUCUUUGGUGGUCGGUUGUUUGUUCUUGAGAAAUACUAUGAAAAGGGGUUGCUUGAUUUUUUUCCCAAGAGUUUUGGUGUUAAAUACAGUCCUUCACUUGAUGACUACUGCAAGCUUUGGAAGUCCUGGGAAAGAACAAGAUGUCAAUUGACACAUGCUGAGUGUUGUGCAUUCUGGAAGUGUGUUAUGAAGCACGGCGGCUCAAAAAUAGCAAAAGCUCUGCUUGAUGACUUGGCAAAGCUGCCUGUUGUUUCAUGCUCCGGUGAAAUCUUCUUGUUCGACAAGCGUGACGUUUUUAUAGCAGAUGACCUUCAACUGAAGGAGCUUUUUGAGAAGUUUUCAACCCAACCAAUAUUUGUCUGGUAUCCUCAGCCAAGCGUGGCUUCUUUACCCCGCAGCUCUUUGUUUGAAGUGUACAGAAGAACUGGGAUCCGGACAAUUUCUGAAU
rnacentral:lncRNA from 1 species